GACUUGUCCACCGGAAGACACAAUUUUGUGAGCCCGCAAUUGACUACGGAGAAAAUGACGUCUACACAACCGCACCACAUAAGAUAACUCCAAAUCAUUUAUAAGGACUCGGCGACCGUGAAGAUUCAUAAACAAUACCGACGAGUUAUAGUACGCACGCAUCAAAAGAUAGUAGUGUAAACAAAAAUGAAGAAGCUAUAUAUAGUAGUGCUGUUUGUGUCGGUCCUCGUCUUCACAAAUGCAAGGCAUAUACACCCCCAUGAAGUUCCCCAUGCACGACAUCAAGAUGUAGAAGAGUUAUGUGAGCAUGGAGCUAAGAAAGCUUUAAAAACCGCGCCGAGCAGAGAAGAAUACAUUAAUGUGGAGGUAAUAGAUGAAAUUUCACGCAACAUUAAACCAAACCGCUUCGUGCCACUGAACAACCCGAUCUUCUUCAUGGGUCACACGCCUUGUCCCGAGGAGGGCUUCAAGAGGGACUAUUUGGGUAUCUGCAGGGAAGUCUGGGACUAGCUGGACCAAAAUCGUUUUAGCUACUUGUCCACCAAAAAAAAAUGAUUGGCAGACGAAUAAAAACUGGGCAUGGUAUGCUUGCCAUCUCUUGGGCAUUGCUCAAGUUAUCUUCAAACGCUGGCGCGAUAAAUUGUAGAAAUAAUAAUAAACUCAUGCUCAGUGGUAUGAUCUACUCUAAAUAUUAAGCUGCUUUAUAUUAAUGUGAUAUUAGUUAUAAGAUUUAGUUUAUAGAGUCUUGUUCGUGUAUCAUGGACACGGCAAAUAUAAGAUAAGUUGUAGUAGUGUAAUGGUGCCCCUAUAUUGGCUGUUAUAAAAUGUUAUAUACCUCACAUCGUGUGACAGGGGCAGCAAGAUACUAUUGAUAGUGUUUCAUUAUGUUGUCCCUGUCAAACGAUGUUAUAUAACAGCCAAUGUGGGAGCAACAUAAUACAAUAAGUGUGCCACAUGACUGAGACGCCAAUGUAUUUACGAAAGUUUGAUACAACGGUUGGCAUAACAACAAACAACUUCAUUCAAAAAGCGUUUCAGUCGUGCGGCAAACCUAGUCCUUGAUGUUAGAUAAGAUAUCCUGCAAAGGUUAAAAAUACUUUAUCACUUCUUGGAGAGAUAAAUAUUUUGAAGUGCAGUGGAAUAUUUUAUAGUUUUUCAACGAUUGUAAAGAGUGCUUACUGAUUAUGAUUAUGAUAAUAAAUAUGAUCGUGCAACACAAA